rnacentral:rRNA from 1 species
AGAGUUUGAUCCUGGCUCAGGAUGAACGCUGGCGGCGUGCUUAACACAUGCAAGUCGAACGGGAAUUACUUUAUUGAAACUUCGGUCGAUUUAAUUUAAUUCUAGUGGCGGACGGGUGAGUAACGCGUGGGUAACCUGCCUUAUACAGGGGGAUAACAGUCAGAAAUGGCUGCUAAUACCGCAUAAGCGCACAGAGCUGCAUGGCUCAGUGUGAAAAACUCCGGUGGUAUAAGAUGGACCCGCGUUGGAUUAGCUUGUUGGUGGGGUAACGGCUCACCUAGGCGACGAUACAUAGCCGACCUGAGAGGGUGAUCGGCCACACUGGGACUGAGACACGGCCCAGACUCCUACGGGAGGCAGCAGUAGGGAAUCUUCGGCAAUGGGGGCAACCCUGACCGAGCAACGCCGCGUGAGUGAAGAAGGUUUUCGGAUCGUAAAGCUCUGUUGUAAGUCAAGAACGAGUGUGAGAGUGGAAAGUUCACACUGUGACGGUAGCUUACCAGAAAGGGACGGCUAACUACGUGCCAGCAGCCGCGGUAAUACGUAGGUCCCGAGCGUUGUCCGGAUUUAUUGGGCGUAAAGCGAGCGCAGGCGGUUUGAUAAGUCUGAAGUUAAAGGCUGUGGCUCAACCAUAGUUCGCUUUGGAAACUGUCAAACUUGAGUGCAGAAGGGGAGAGUGGAAUUCCAUGUGUAGCGGUGAAAUGCGUAGAUAUAUGGAGGAACACCGGUGGCGAAAGCGGCUCUCUGGUCUGUAACUGACGCUGAGGCUCGAAAGCGUGGGGAGCGAACAGGAUUAGAUACCCUGGUAGUCCACGCCGUAAACGAUGAGUGCUAGGUGUUGGAUCCU